CUCACCCCCCCUGAUGUUACCAAGCUAUCCCAGUUUAAACUCAUCCCCCCCCCCGAUGUUACCAAGCUAUCCCAGUUUAAGGUCCACUAUAGAACACCAGUAAGGUCUACUAUAGAACACCAGUAAGGUCCACUAUAGAACACCAGUAAGGUCUACUAUAGAACACCAGUAAGGUCCACUAUAGAACACCAGUAAGGUCCACUAUAGAACGCCAGUAAGGUCUACUAUAGAACACCAGUAAGGUCCACUAUAGAACACCAGUAAGGUCUACUAUAGAACACCAGUAAGGUCCACUAUAGAACACCAGUAAGGUCUACUAUAGAACACCAGUAAGGUCCACUAUAGAACACCAGUAAGGUCCACUAUAGAACGCCAGUAAGGUCCACUAUAGAACACCAGUAAGGUUCACUAUAGAACACCAGUAAGGUCCACUAUAGAACACCAGUAAGGUCCACUAUAGAACACCAGUAAGGUCUACUAUAGAACACCAGUAAGGUCCACUAUAGAACACCAGUAAGGUUCACUAUAGAACACCAGUAAGGUUCACUAUAGAACACCAGUAAGGUCCACUAUAGAACACCAGUAAGGUCCACUAUAGAACACCAGUAAGGUCCACUAUAGAACACCAGUAAGGUCUACUAUAGAACACCAGUAAGGUCCACUAUAGAACACCAGUAAGGUCUACUAUAGAACACCAGUAAGGUCCACUAUAGAACACCAGUAAGGUCCACUAUAGAACGACAGUAAGGUCCACUAUAGAACGACGGGCGCCAAGAUGCCCAGACGGGCGCCAAGACUUCCUCCUCUUCCUCUCGUUGUCACACACUGAUCUGUUUCACCUGUCUUUGUGAUUGUCUCCACCCCCCUCCAGGUGCCGCCCAUCUUCCCCAUUAUCCCCAGUGUCAGUGUGUAGAGUCCUGUCAGUGUGUAGAGUCCUGUCAGUGUGUAGAGUCCUGUCAGUGUGUAGAGUCCCGUCAGUGUGUAGAGUCCCGUCAGUGUGUAGAGUCCCGUCAGUGUGUAGAGUCCCGUCAGUGUGUAGAGUCCCGUCAGUGUGUAGAGUCCUGUCAGUGUGUAGGGUCCUGUCAGAGUCCUGCCAGUGUGUAGAGUCCUGCCAGUGUGUAGAGUCCUGCCAGUGUGUAGAGUCCCGUCAGUGUGUAGAGUCCCGUCAGUGUGUAGAGUCCUGUCAGUGUGUAGAGUCCUGUCAGUGUGUAGAGUCCCGUCAGUGUGUAGAGUCCCGUCAGUGUGUAGAGUCCUGCCAGUGUGUAGAGUCCCGUCAGUGUGUAGAGUCCUGCCAGUGUGUAGAGUCCUGCCAGUGUGUAGAGUCCUGCCAGUGUGUAGAGUCCUGUCAGUGUUGUCUUUUAAAUGUUAUUUACUAUAUGUAAGACAACAGCAAAAAGGGCAAGAAGGUAGAGACAACAAUACAUCACGCAAAGCAGCCACAACUGUCAGUAAGAGUGUCUAUGAUUGAGUCUUUGAAUGAAGAGACGGAGAUCAAACUGUCCUGUUUUGAGUGUUUGUUGCAACUCAUUCCAGCCCCCAUCUGUAUCGGCUAACUGUCUACUGCAGGACUCCCAUUUUGUAUGUGUGUAUGCAGCAUGAUUUUACAUACGGUAUGUGUUUAUAGGUUUGCUUGAGCUGUUCUAUGCAUGUAUGAGAGUGUACCUGUGGUUGAGGAUGACUAUAUUAUUGAGAGCCAUUAAACUAGUAUAUACUUAAUUACAGCCUUGUUGGUCAACUGCAAUUUACAGAGAUAUUUAAUGAGCUGGUAGAGAUUAUAUAACGUAGGAUAGUAUCACCUCUAGCAUCAGACAGGGAUGUCUGGGGGAAACACUAGUGUUCUCUUUGAAACCACCAGGUGGCAGUGCAUCCCAAUUAUUAAAUAGUUGUUUGUUUCUGUAGCGUUUUCUACAUGACUGUUUCUCCAUACAGUUUGUAAUUACACACAGUGCUGUAUCACAUUUUGGUUAAACACUACUCUAAUUUAUAUACCAAUAGUAUUUAAAUUAGUUCACACAGUAUCUGCUAGAAGGGGAAACAACAGCAUUGAACGAGGACAAACAGGAAGUCUAACACGUGUACACACAUGAAAAGGCACAGACAUAAAACAAGUGCACGUGUAAACACACAGACACUCUUUCCCUCUCUCUUCCUGUAGAUGUGUGCGCUGGUGUGUGUGUGUGCGCUGGUGUGUUUACGUGUGUGUGUGUGUGUGUGUGUGUAGCGUUCAGCCUCAUUUCCCCCCAUGACUUUCAUUGGGUUUGAGGUCUGGGCCACUGCAUAUAAAUCAGCAAUGUAAAGAGAUGGGGUGAAUGAGUGGGGAAAGAACAUUCUACACAAAUUAC
rnacentral:lncRNA from 1 species